rnacentral:lncRNA from 1 species
UGAAUAAAAAAUACUGCAAAAAUAUAUUAUUUCAUUAAUUUAAUUUCAUUACAUUUGCACUAUUACAAUUCUAACUUCCAAUAUCAGAGGUGAUGACCUCUCUCCUUUGGUUUUUUCGACUUUUAUUCAUUCACACACCCAUAUUUAACCCCUACAUGAUAUACAGAAAAAAAAAGAAAAAAAAAGAAUGAAUGAAGAAAAAUUACAUCUUAGUUGAUUCUUGAAAACCAAACUAAAAAAAAAUUUAAAAAUGAGUUAUCUUCUUUGGUUUGUUAAUUAGGUUGAAAUUGAAUAAUGUGAAGCUUCACUUAGUUUGAGCGGCGACGCCAAACCGAACCAUUUGCUUAGGGUAAGCAUCGGCGGAUUGACCGGCGAAGUUCCGGUUGCCGACUGAGGCGGUGCAUGG